rnacentral:rRNA from 1 species
ACAGGUGGUGCAUGGUUGUCGUUCAGCUCGUGUCGUGAGAUGUUGGUUAAGUCCCGCAACGAGCGCAACCCUCGACCUUAGUUGCCAGCAUUCAGUUGGGCACUCUAAGGUGACUGCCGGCUAAAAGUCGGAGGAAGGUGGGGAUGACGUCAAAUCAUCAUGCCCCUUAUGACCUGGGCUACACACGUGCUACAAUGGGCGGUACAAAGGGUCGCGAACCCGCGAGGGGGAGCCAAUCCCAAAAAGCCGCUCUCAGUUCGGAUUGCAGGCUGCAACUCGCCUGCAUGAAGCCGGAAUCGCUAGUAAUCGCGGAUCAGCAUGCCGCGGUGAAUACGUUCCCGGGCCUU